rnacentral:rRNA from 1 species
CCUACGGGAGGCAGCAGUGGGGAAUUUUGGACAAUGGGCGAAAGCCUGAUCCAGCCAUGCCGCGUGAGUGAAGAAGGCCUUCGGGUUGUAAAGCUCUUUCAGCCGGAAAGAAAUCGCGCAGGCUAAUACUCUGCGUGGAUGACGGUACCGGAAGAAGAAGCACCGGCUAACUACGUGCCAGCAGCCGCGGUAAUACGUAGGGUGCGAGCGUUAAUCGGAAUUACUGGGCGUAAAGCGUGCGCAGGCGGUUAUAUAAGACAGAUGCGAAAUCCCCGGGCUCAACCUGGGAACUGCGUUUGUGACUGUAUGACUAGAGUACGGCAGAGGGAGGUGGAAUUCCGCGUGUAGCAGUGAAAUGCGUAGAUAUGCGGGGGAACACCGAUGGCGAAGGCAGCCUCCUGGGCCAGUACUGACGCUCAUGCACGAAAGCGUGGGGAGCAAACAGGAUUAGAUACCCUGGUAGUCCACGCCCUAAACGAUGUCAACUAGUUGUUCGGUGAGGAGACUNAUUGAGUAACGNAGCACGCGNGAGUAGACGCCGNGGAGACGGCGCGAGUAAACGUACAANAGAGUAGAGACGUGAGACGNGCGACGGACGACGACGAGGGGAGGAGG